rnacentral:rRNA from 1 species
UACGUAGGGGGCUAGCGUUGUCCGGAAUCAUUGGGCGUAAAGCGCGUGUAGGCGGCCCGGUAAGUCCGCUGUGAAAGUCGGGGGCUCAACCCUCGAAAGCCGGUGGAUACUGUCGGGCUAGAGUGCGGGAGAGGCGAGUGGAAUUCCUGGUGUAGCGGUGAAAUGCGCAGAUAUCAGGAGGAACACCGAUUGCGAAGGCAGCUCGCUGGAACGUAACUGACGCUGAGACGCGAAAGCGUGGGGGGCAAACAGG